AGUACGGCCGCAAGGUUAAAACUCAAAUGAAUUGACGGGGGCCCGCACAAGCGGUGGAGCAUGUGGUUUAAUUCGAUGCAACGCGAAGAACCUUACCUACUCUUGACAUCCAGAGAACUUAGCAGAGAUGCUUUGGUGCCUUCGGGAACUCUGAGACAGGUGCUGCAUGGCUGUCGUCAGCUCGUGUUGUGAAAUGUUGGGUUAAGUCCCGCAACGAGCGCAACCCUUAUCCUUUGUUGCCAGCGGUUAGGCCGGGAACUCAAAGGAGACUGCCAGUGAUAAACUGGAGGAAGGUGGGGAUGACGUCAAGUCAUCAUGGCCCUUACGAGUAGGGCUACACACGUGCUACAAUGGCGCAUACAAAGAGAAGCGACCUCGCGAGAGCAAGCGGACCUCAUAAAGUGCGUCGUAGUCCGGAUUGGAGUCUGCAACUCGACUCCAUGAAGUCGGAAUCGCUAGUAAUCGUGGAUCAGAAUGCCACGGUGAAUACGUUCCCGGGCCUUGUACACACCGCCCGUCACACCAUGGGAGUGGGUUGCAAAAGAAGUAGGUAGCUUAACCUUCGGGAGGGCGCUUACCACUUUGUGAUUCAUGACUGGGGUGAAGUCGUAACAAGGUAACCGUAGGGGAACCUGCGGUUG
rnacentral:rRNA from 1 species